AUGAGGGUAUGAUUUAAUGUGUGGUAUGUUAAGUGUGUGUGUGGAAAUUGUGUGUGUUUAUUGGACAUAAUGUAAUGAGAUGAUGUAAUGGGGUACACUCUGACCUUUCAUUCAUAAUGAUUGUUUGAUGCUAUUAAUAUAUUAAUGUAGUGAUUGGUUAUACUGUCAUCGCUGAGAAACUUACCACUGUAUCUUGUAUCUCUCUCUCUCCUUCUUUCUUUUCUUCCCUCAUUUUUGUUUUUCCUCUCUUCUCUCAAGAUUUCAUGGAGGAUUUGUCAUUCUUUGAUCUGCUCUUUAUGAAGGAUUGGUGUAUGUUAACUGGUCUCAGUUGGGAGGUUACUUUGGGUGAGAAUGAAGGAGGGGGCACUUACUGUCUCCUCUCCCCUCUCUCUGAUGAAUCAAUAGUGGCUGGUAUGUAAGACGCUCUGCUGAGCUUAAUUAGGAUGAUAAAGAUAAUUGAAGAACCACUCCAGUCUGGUUUAUAUGAUGUCCUCCCUACUACUAUUGGAAGGUUUGGCUCCUGAGGAUUUGAGGCUUUUGCUCUGUGGGUGUC